rnacentral:rRNA from 1 species
GGAAAUGCCUGCACACUACAAUGCAAGUCGUACGAUAGUACCCAGAUUGCUGGGUGGAUUACUGCCGAACGGGUGAGUAAACGUGAGUAACCUGCCCUUGCUCUGGGAUAUACCUGGGAAACUGGGUCUAAUACCGGAUAGGAGCGCCUACCGCAUGGGGGGUGUUGGAAAAAUUUGUCUUUUUUUAUCACUUUCAGAUGGGCCCGCCUUGCAUUAACUAUUUGGUGACGUAAAGGCUCCCCUAGGCAACGAUGCUUAACCGACCUGAGAGGGUGAUCGGCACCACUGGGACUGAGAACUCUCCAGACUCCUACGGUAGUGAAAUUAGAGAAUC